GACGAACGCUGGCGGCGUGCUUAACACAUGCAAGUCGAACGGAAAGGCCCUGCUUUUGUGGGGUGCUCGAGUGGCGAACGGGUGAGUAACACGUGAGUAACCUGCCCUUGACUUUGGGAUAACUUCAGGAAACUGGGGCUAAUACCGGAUAGGAGCUCCUGCUGCACGGGGGGGGUUGGAAAGUUUCGGCGGUUGGGGCUGGACUCGCGGCUUAUCAGCUUGUUGGUGGGGUAGUGGCUUACCAAGGCUUUGACGGGUAGCCGGCCUGAGAGGGUGACCGGCCACAUUGGGCCUGAGAUACGGCCCAGACUCCUACGGGAGGCAGCAGUGGGGAAUAUUGCACAAUGGGCGGAAGCCUGAUGCAGCAACGCCGCGUGCGGGAUGACGGCCUUCGGGUUGUAAACCGCUUUCGCCUGUGACGAAGCGUGAGUGACGGUAAUGGGUAAAGAAGCACCGGCUAACUACGUG
rnacentral:rRNA from 1 species